CCCUUAGAUGUCCUGGGCCGCACGCGCGCUACACUGAGUGUCUGAGAUACGAGUCUGCCUGGUCCGGCAAGGUCUAGGUAAUCGCUAAAAGACACAUCAUGCUUGGGAUAGAUUAUUGCAAAUAUUAAUCUUGAACGAGGAAUUCCUAGUAAGCGCAAGUCAACAGCUUGCGUUGAUUACGUCCCUGCCCUUUGUACACACCGCCCGUCGCUACUACUGAUUGGAUGUUUAAGCGAGGUUCUCUAACUGCUAGCGACUUAGCUUCGGUGAGGUCGCAGUGUGGGAAGUGAACCUAGCUUUGGUGUCUAGAGGAAGUAAAAGUCGUAACA
rnacentral:rRNA from 1 species